AGAAGUCAGCCGUAUCAGCUCUUUGGGUUGGACUUGCAUAAUCAACGCAGAACCAUGACCUUCGGGGGAUAUUCCCCCUAGGAAAACCGACGCCUUUGCUGGGGUAUGGUGAGUCACGCGGCAGGUGCUUGUGACUUCUGAAGGGUUUUCAACGUUGAAAUAAAUUUUGGAGCACAAGACAGAGCUUCUAACUAUGCUUUCUGGGAGAGGAUUCCUGCACGUAAUGCAUGUUGUAUGAUUAAGAUAAUGAAGUAACCGCCUCUUGGAGUAAUUUCUUAAUUUCCCAGGACAGAUGAGAUGCAAAGAAGAAGUAAAGACAGGAGUCAAAGGUUCAUUAAAUCAGCAGAAUGCUAGACACAGUAUAUCUGGAUUUCAGCAAGACGCUUGAUAACAUCUCCAACAAAUCACUGUGGGCAAGAUGGAGGGAUAUGAGCUGUGUGAUGGAGCAAUGAACUGAACCCCCACAGCCCAAGUGUGAUGAGGAAACCCUUAGGAAAGUCUCUCAGGAAGGAACUGGAAGCAGCCUCAGCAGAUAUGACUAAAAUAAACAAAUUGAGACCA